AAAAACUACUUACUAGAUCUCGUUCAAACCAAUUUUUGGUGGAAGUUUGCAUGGUAAUGUACAUCAUAUAUUUUUUUUAGUUUUAUCAUUCUCUUAUUUUAGAAGUUACAGGGGGGGGACACACAUUUUACCACUUUGGAAGUGUCUCUCGCGCAAACUAUUCAGUUUAGAAAAAAAUAAUAUUAGAAACCUCAAUAUCAUUUUUAAAGACUUAUCCAUAGAUACCCCACACGUAUGGGUUUGAUGAAAAAAAUUUUUUUAGCGAUUUAUGACGUAUUAAAAAAAAACUACGUACUAGAUCUCGUUCAAACCAAUUUUCGGUGGAAGUUUACAUGGUAAUGUACAUCAUAUAUUUUUUUUAGUUUUAUCAUUCUGUUAUUUUAGAAGUUACGGGGGGGGGGACACACAUUUUACCACUUUGGAAGU